rnacentral:misc_RNA from 1 species
AAGUCGUAACAAGGUUUCCGUAGGUGCACCUUCAUCGACUACACAAUAUGGCAAUAUGCGGGAACAGUCCUUGAAAUCAGGAGUCUCAGUGGGGAGUUGAAGCCCUUGGGAAUGGCCCCUGUUUUUGCCUUUUGGAAAUUCUUUGGUUGUGGUUUCCACGAGGCAAAAAUGGAUCACACAACAGGCGAUUCGCCAGAUGCGCUUUCCGGGGGGUUGGCACCUUGCUGGUCACUUGAGGUCUAUGGAACUUGCCGCACGGUUUGUGUAGCAAAGGCGCAAAACAAAACAAGCGGAUACUAGACUUUACCGCUGGAAAAAUUGACAACAAUACCCAUACCGUGCUCCUACUUCUUAGGGAGAGCUGGAGCCGGAAACCCCGAACAACUGUUAACAAUGGAUAACUUGGCUCUC